rnacentral:rRNA from 1 species
AGAGUUUGAUCAUGGCUCAGGAUGAACGUUGGCGGCGUGCCUAAUACAUGCAAGUCGAACGAAGACUGUAGUAAUACUGUCUUAGUGGCGAACGGGUGAGUAACGCGUGGGUGACCUGCCCCGAAGUGUGGGAUAACAGUCCGAAAGGAUUGCUAAUACUGCAUAAUAUCCAAGAGAUUAGAUGCUUUUGGAUUAAAGGAGUAAUUCGCUUCGGGAGGGGCCCGCGUCCCAUCAGCUAGUUGGUAAGGUAAUGGCUUACCAAGGCGAUGACGGGUAGGGGGCCUGAGAGGGUGGCCCCCCACAAUGGAACUGAAACACGGUCCAUACACCUACGGGUGGCAGCAGUAGGGAAUAUUAGUAAUGGGCGAAAGCCUGAACUAGCAACGCCGCGUGUGCGAAGAAGGCCUUCGGGUCGUAAAGCACUUUUUGAGAGGAUGAGGAAGGACGGUACUCUCAGAAUAAGUCUCGGCUAACUACGUGCCAGCAGCCGCGGUAACACGUAGGAGGCAAACGUUAUCCGGAUUUACUGGGCGUAAAGCGCGUGUAGGUGGUUUGGUAAGUAGGGCGUGAAAGCUCCUGGCUCAACUGGGAGAGGACGUUCUAAACUGCCAAGCUUGAGGAUGGUAGAGGGAGGUGGAAUUCCGGGUGUAGCGGUGGAAUGCGCAGAUAUCCGGAGGAACACCAGUGGCGAAGGCGGCCUCCUGGACCACUCCUGACACUCAGACGCGAAAGCUAGGGUAGCAAACGGGAUUAGAGACCCCGGUAGUCCUAGCCCUAAACGAUGUAGACUUGGCGUCGGUGGUUUAAUCGCCAUCGGUGUCGUAGCUAACGCGAUAAGUCUACCGCCUGGGGACUACGGCCGCAAGGUUAAAACUCAAAGGAAUUGACGGGUCCCCGCACAAGCAACGGAGCGUGUGGUUUAAUUCGAUGCGACACGAAGAACCUUACCCAGGUUUGACAUGCACGUAGUAGUGAAGCGAAAGCGGAACGAGCCUUCGGGCAGCGUGCACAGGUGUUGCAUGGCUGUCGUCAGCUCGUGUCGUGAGAUGUUGGGUUAAGUCCCGCAACGAGCGCAACCCUUGUGUUUAGUUGCCAGCAUGAAAGAUGGGCACUCUAGACAGACCGCCGUAGAUAAUACGGAGGAAGGUGGGGAUGACGUCAAAUCAUCAUGCCCCUUAUGACCUGGGCUACACACGUGCUACAAUGGGAUGAACAGAGGGUAGCGAAGUAGUGAUACGGAGCCAAUCUCAAAAAACAUCUCCCAGUUCGGAUUGCAGGCUGCAACUCGCCUGCAUGAAGUAGGAGUUACUAGUAAUCGCAAAUCAGAAUGUUGCGGUGAAUGCGUUCCCGGGGUUUGUACACACCGCCCGUCACACCACGAAAGUCGGCAACACCCGAAGUCAGUGAGCUAACCAAUAGGAGGCAGCUGCCUAAGGUGGGGUUGAUGAUUGGGGUGAAGUCGUAACAAGGUAACCGUAAAUCACU